AUGCUACAACUCUUCUUUGUCUCCUUCACCUGCUGGUGGACAGACAGACCGUGUUCCUCUUCAAAAACAACACAACCCUUGUCUCUGCAUGUCCAGUGCUCAGCAUCAGUAUAUCUGUCUGCGGUGAAAGACGAAGAGAGAGGGACACCGGUGAUGAACGAUCUGGAAGAAUUCAAUAAGUGUUACCUAUCCCAAACAAACCAAGAUCAGGGACUGGCCAUGCAACAGCUCAGAGUGACUCAAUCCCUGCAUGCAAUUAGGCAAUAACUCAGAAACCAAAAACAGACUGCCCAAAAUUCUAGCUCUUUCCUUCUCAAUCUCCUUUUAGUUUAGAUAUGUGGUUUCUUGAUUUUUAAAGGCUGUCAGUGUGUCCCUCAAAAUCUCCACUCUCAAAGUAUAGAGGAAAAGUUCACCCAAAAACCAAACAUUCUGAUGUUAUUGACUGACAUUAUGUUCCAAACCUGUACUUGUUAUUGUAUUACACCAUUAAUACAAAUGAUUCUCUUUCUUCUGUGUAAUACAAUUAUAAUCGUAUAAUUAUAAUGGUGUAAUACAAUUAUAAUGGUAUGAAGCAUCAGCUACUGUCAAAACUUUUAUUUUUAUUUUUUGGUUCUCAUAUGUGAUGUGACCAGACAUUCACAAUACCAUAUUUGAUGUAGUCUAUGUAUGCGUGCCCUGAUCAAUGUUUUGAUUUGAGAGUGAAUAAAUACGUACAUUUUAAUCUGUUUAUUAUAAGAACAGAUCUUGCCAGAAGACUAAUAUACCAGUUGAGUGACAUUAAUUUCAUCCUACCUGUAUGUUUUUUUUUUUUUUUUGUUGUUGUUGUUUUUUUGGAGCUUUUGGAAUUUCUUUUGUAUAGUUAAAAACAGUUGAAACAUUCUUCAAAACAUCCUUUGUGUUCCACAGAGGGGGAUAAAAAAUCAUAAGAUGUUUUGAAAUGCCAUGAGGGUGAGUAAAGGAUGACAGAAUUUUCAUUUUUGGGUGAACCUUGCCUUUAACUUUACAUCUUUCCACACAGAGUUAUUGCACAAGAGUCAUAUAGAUUAUUUAAUGGUACUUUUAUAGUGUUUUUUUUUUUUUAUUUAAUUGUUUUCCUGUCCUUUUUGCAACAGUGUUAUUUUAGUAUUAUGCAUAUACUAUUAUAGUCUGUAUAAAUAUUUCUAAAUAUAGCUUUUAUUUUAAUUUUAGUUUAGGGUUUGGUCAUUUUUAUGUGCUUUUCCCUUUUUAAUUGUUAUUUAUAUUUUAUAUGUAGCUUAAAUUUAUUUUAUUUCAGUUUUGGUUUUAGCAAUAGAAAAACUUCUCCUUUUUUUAUUUAUUUCUGUAAACAAAUAAGAUUUGUUAAUAGUUCUAGUAAAAAUAAAUAAAUACAUAAAUAAACGGAACUGGUCUUUCCAUGGAAAACAGCAGCUUUAAGAUUAUUCAGAAUGUCUCCUUUUGUAUUACAUGGAAAAAAAUAAGAGGAUUUUAGUUUCCAAUGACAUAAGGGUGAAUAAACAAUGACAGGUUUUCAUUUUCAUUUUUUCCUUCGUGUAAACACAGAAGGGCACAGUUAGCCAAAACAGAGAACGAGGUCCUCACACACUAAACAGAAUCCGUUCUAGCAAUCAGAAGUCAGAAAUGUGGGCUGUUUUGAGGUACCCCGGGAAUUAUGAAACAAGAUGAACUGUAUAUAUGAACUGUUUACAUAUACAUAUGCUCUCUUAUAGAAGCUCUGUUCUGCUCGUUGUCUCGUAAAAGACAGAACGAGAGGGAAUAAUAAGGGAAAACAUCUGCAGGUGUCUCUGAGCUGUGGUUCGCUUGUCCUGACAUGCACGUUGUUCUCGUUUAAGGAGGAGCUGUAUCAUUAUCCUGAGAGACAGCGGCAGGCCAGCAGUGUGCCUGUAUCGAAACAAGUACGGUCACAAACAGCUCUUAAUCAUGUGUUGUGAAACCAGUGUUAAACCACCUCUAGUCUCUCCUGUCUAACGGGUUUCUUAAUCACACUUGAAUAUGACAGAGGAACAGAAUAUCACAUUUCAUGUGAAAAACUAGAUUAUUACAUUAAGAAAUACCAGUUGUUGCCAAAAUAUUAGUGUGUUUUGAGUGUUGUAUCUGACCCAAGUCAAAAGAGCCAAAGUCUCUGAUAUUCUGGAUGCUACAUACUGUAUUGCUACUUCACGCAAGUCUGAGCAAUUUGUUAUGCCCAUUUUACCAACCACCAGGUGAAAAAUUGUAAACUGAUUAGAAAUGAAAAUGCACCUCCUCAUAAAACCACACGCUUUGAGUCAUCAUUCAAGUUUAUAGCACAAAUGGUAAUGUUUACACGCCUUGCUGAGGGUAAGAGGUUUGUUUAAAUCUAUAAUUACACACAAUUAUCUUAGCAAGCUGCCUUUUCUUCAAAGGGCUGUAUGUUAAAAUAUUACAGUUCUUCUUAUUAUAAUCAUGUUACAAAUUCCAUUUGAUUUCUCAAACGAUUAAUCGUGAUUAAUCGCAUCCAAAAUAAAAGUUUGUAAUAUAUGUGUGUGUACUGUGUAUAUUUAUUAUUUAUAUAUAAUCGUACACACAUACAUGUUUACAUUUAAAAAAAUAUUUGCAUGUUUUAUAUUUAUAUAUAAUUUAUUUUAUAUAUAAUAUUUUAUUGGAGUGUCUAUUUACAGUAAGUGCAAAUAGCCUGCCUUGUUAGGAGAGGCUAUUUACACUAACUCUGUCCACUAAAAUGUGAUUAGGGUAGUGAACACUACAAAAGACGACUGUCAGACAUCAGCUUCAGUGGGGUAGACUAGAGGGUAAAGCUUUCAAACCUCAUAUUACAUCGGUAUGGCAUUCAUUUCCAAUAAAAAAGUAAAGGAAAUAAUCGAAAAGUUGAAAAUAAAGUAUCAAGUAGGGUUAGGGUAUAGGUGUAGGGUGGGAUUUAUUGUGCCAAUAAUGUGGCAUCCAUUUAAUAAUUUGAAUUAAAAUUACAAUUUCAACUUAAUACAUUAUUUUUGCAUACUGUUUUAGAAUGUAGGCCUACUACAAUGUUGAGGUGCAGAUAAUUGCCACUAUUUGCAAAAAGUAGUAUAAAUAGCAGAAUAUCCUUCUAAUUUAAAAUAGUGUAAAUAGAAUCCAUUGCUAUUUGCACUUAGUGUAAAUAGCCGCUGCCAUUAUAUAUAUAUAUAUAUAUAUAUAUAUAUAUAUAUAUAUAUAUAUUUUUUUAAUUUAUUAAAUCGGACUCCCAAUCGAUGGGUUGUAAGUUCGAGUCUCGGGCCGGCAGGAAUUGUGGGUGGGGGGAGUGCAUGUACAGUUCUCUCUCCACCCUCAAUACCAUGACUUAGGUGCCCUUGAGCAAGGCAUCGAACCCCCAACUGCUC
ensembl:lncRNA